CCCUACGGGGGGCAGCAGUGAGGAAUAUUGGUCAAUGGUCGGGAGACUGAACCAGCCAAGCCGCGUGAGGGAUGAAGGUACAGAGUAUCGUAAACCUCUUUUGUCAGGGAACAAAGGCGGGGACGUGUCCCCGGAUUAGUGUACCUGAAGAAAAAGCAUCGGCUAACUCCGUGCCAGCAGCCGCGGUAAUACGGAGGAUGCGAGCGUUAUCCGGAUUUAUUGGGUUUAAAGGGGGCGCAGGCGGUCUGUUAAGUCAGCGGUCAAAGCCCGGGGCUCAACCCCGGCCCGCCGUUGAAACUGGCAGG
rnacentral:rRNA from 1 species